rnacentral:rRNA from 1 species
CCUCGCAAGGGGUGACUGAGUGGCGAACGGGUGAGUAACGCGUGGGUGACCUACCUUCGAGUGGGGGAUAACGUCCCGAAAGGGACGCUAAUACCGCAUGACAUCCUGUCCUUGAACGGAUGGAGAUCAAAGCCGGGGAUCGCAAGACCUGGCGCUUGAUGAGGGGCCCGCGUCCGAUUAGCUAGUUGGUGAGGUAACGGCUCACCAAGGCGACGAUCGGUAUCCGGCCUGAGAGGGCGGACGGACACACUGGGACUGAGACACGGCCCAGACUCCUACGGGAGGCAGCAGUGGGGAAUUGUUCGCAAUGGGCGCAAGCCUGACGACGCAAUGCCGCGUGGAGGAUGAAGGUCUUCGGAUUGUAAACUCCUGUUGCCAGGGACGAAUAGCUUCGACCUAACACGUCGAAGUAUGACGGUACCUGGUGAGGAAGCCCCGGCUAACUCUGUGCCAGCAGCCGCGGUAAUACAGAGGGGGCAAGCGUUGUUCGGAAUUACUGGGCGUAAAGGGCGCGUAGGCGGCCCGCUAAGUCGAACGUGAAAUCCCCGGGCUCAACCCGGGAACUGCGUCCGAUACUGGUGGGCUUGAAUCCGGGAGAGGGAUGUGGAAUUCCAGGUGUAGCGGUGAAAUGCGUAGAUAUCUGGAGGAACACCGGUGGCGAAGGCGGCAUCCUGGACCGGUAUUGACGCUGAGGCGCGAAAGCCAGGGGAGCAAACGGGAUUAGAUACCCCGGUAGUCCUGGCCCUAAACGAUGAAUGCUUGGUGUGGCGGGUAUCGAU